rnacentral:misc_RNA from 1 species
UGUGGUUGGCUGCGGCGUUUGCACRACUUCCAUGCUUUCAGACCUCUUCAGGUGUGCGGCAAGGCUUGUAUCGCCUUGAGCGUGCUGUGGGUUUUCUGUGUUGGCUACCUAAUCAAUGGUAUCGGUUGGAUUGAUCAAAGUUUGAUUUCGUCUUYCGUCGCAUUCGCGGCGUGAGGUGAACCCUGAUGCGGUCUCUUUGAUCCACCUCGUCGAAGCACAUGCUUCGACGUUGUGGCACAUUGAGCAUUGCUUGGUCUCUUGUAUACGGAACAUAUAGUGGGCAUGGAUCUAACGAUUCUCAUUUGCCCUCAUGUUAGCGUAACGCUUCUCAAACACGACUUGCGCCACGUUUUAGCUCGUACGGACGUGGUGCUAUGUCGAAGAGGAAUGCUACCUGGUUGAUCCUGCACAGUAGUCAUAUGCUUGUCUCAAAGAUUAAGCCAUGCAUGUGUAAGUA